rnacentral:rRNA from 1 species
AGAGCCGCAGUGAAUAGGCCCAAGCGACUGUUUAUCAAAAACACAGGUCUCUGCUAAACCGUAAGGUGAUGUAUAGGGGCUGACGCCUGCCCGGUGCUGGAAGGUUAAGAGGAGUGGUUAGCUUCUGCGAAGCUACGAAUCGAAGCCCCAGUAAACGGCGGCCGUAACUAUAACGGUCCUAAGGUAGCGAAAUUCCUUGUCGGGUAAGUUCCGACCCGCACGAAAGGCGUAACGAUUUGGGCACUGUCUCAACGAGAGACUCGGUGAAAUCAUAGUACCUGUGAAGAUGCAGGUUACCCGCGACAGGACGGAAAGACCCCGUGGAGCUUUACUG